rnacentral:rRNA from 1 species
GACGAACGCUGGCGGCGUGCUUAACACAUGCAAGUCUUACGAGAAAGGGUAGCAAUAUCCUGAGUAAAGUGGCGCACGGGUGAGUAACACGUAGGCAAUCUGCCUUUAGGACGGGAACAACUCAGCGAAAGUUGAGCUAAUACCCGAUAAUGCAGCGGCUCCGCAUGGAGACAGUUGUUAAAUCCCGCAAGGGGCCUAUUGAUGAGCCUGCAUCUGANAGCUAGUUGGUGAGGUAACGGCUCACCAAGGCUACGAUCAGUAGCUGGUCUGAGAGGAUGAUCAGCCACACUGGAACUGAGACACGGUCCAGACUCCUACGGGAGGCAGCAGUGAGGAAUAUUGCGCAAUGGCCGAAAGGCUGACGCAGCGACGCCGCGUGAAGGAUGAAGUUCGUUAGAAUGUAAAC